rnacentral:lncRNA from 1 species
GGCAAUCGACUCCCAAGAUACAACGGCUACACUUGUGUUUGUAGCACUCCAAAACACAAGUACAACGAACCAAAUGUAGGCUUAUGUACUCCAAAGAUGAAAUGAAAGAAAAUCAAAAUAAAUGAAAUGAUUUUGAUUUUGGAUAGAAGAGAGGAUGAGAGACGUUUUUGCAUAUCAAACUGUGAGGAAUAGGACACCCAAAG